rnacentral:rRNA from 1 species
UACGUAGGGGGCAAGCGUUGUUCGGAAUUACUGGGCGUAAAGGGCGCGUAGGCGGCCCGCUAAGUCGAACGUGAAAUCCCUGGGCUCAACCCAGGAACUGCGUCCGAUACUGGCAGGCUUGAAUCCGGGAGAGGGAUGCGGAAUUCCAGGUGUAGCGGUGAAAUGCGUAGAUAUCUGGAGGAACACCGGUGGCGAAGGCGGCAUCCUGGACCGGCAUUGACGCUGAGGCGCGAAAGCCAGGGGAGCAAACGGG